ACUGCACUGAAGCUACUUCCACGUUGCAGAGCCAGGGUCGCACGGCAGCUGUGCUUGGAAUGUUCUGGAGGCAAUUCCUGCUGCACCAGCUGCUACAGCCGGGAAGGAACAGCCUGCCCUCAGGAACUUUUGGGUUCCUGAAAAGCAUGAUGGUAUCCCAGCCCCCCCAAAAAAGUAUCAUUUAACCUAGAAAGAAAGAAAGAAAAAAAGGCAGGAGAAGAGGAGGAGAAUCACUUUCGGAUUAUCAUGGCAGUACCUGAAGUUUUGUCCCUUCUCUACUUUUUCUGGAGACUGCACAGAGAGUAAAUAGGACCUCCUGGCAACAAUAGUACAAUACUCUGAUUUCAGAACAGUGUAUGUUGUACUGAGAGCCAUACCUAAAAUAUCUGUGGAUUCUAGAACAGAACGUUCAGGCCUAUUGUCCUGGGAAAACUAAAAAUGAACAAAAUCAAUUUCAUAGAUGGUUCAGAUGUUAAUGCCUACCUUGUGUCUGAGGCAAAAAAUAAACACAGAUGUACAGAUAUUAUUUAACUCACAUGAAAGAGAAGUCAUUUUCCAACCAUGCUGCAACUGCAUUUAAUGGAAAACUCACAGGUAAUCUCCUCCUCAGUUCUCUCUCUCAAGCAAGAUGAGACAGAGGGAGCACUUCCAAAAUUUCCAUCACAUAAAUUAUCAUAGAAUCCUUAGAGUUGGAAGGGACCCUUAAAGGCCAUCUAGUCCACCUCCCCUGGAAUGAAGAGGGACACCUACAGCUACAUCAGGUUGCCCAGAGUCCUGACCAGCCUGACCUUGAGUGUCUCCAGGUAUGAGGCAUCCAUCUCCUCUCUGGGCAACCUCUGCCAGUGCUUCACGACCAAGAAGAGAAAGAUGAAGAAGAUGAAGAUGACAAAGAAGACAGAGAAGUAAAAGAAAAAAAAAAAAGAAAAAACACUUUGUUGUAGCCCAAGCUGUCUAUAAAAGAAAAAGCAGAACUGUACAUAAAAUAAAAUGUUACAAAAAAAGAGAACAAUCUGCUUUGCAUAAUUUGGCUAAGACUAGACGUAUUAAUAUAGUAAUAUAUAUUACUAUAGGCUAGAUAUAUUAAUACAGUAAUAUUUUCUGAUGGAAACUUUUCCAGAACUAUCAUAAAUCAGUGACAACAUUAAAGUGAGUAUGUCAAGAUAAUUAGGAAAAUGGAGAAUAUUAUUUCCUUAGUUCUAUUAUGCAUUUAUAUUUUAGGAUUGCAUAACUGUCUUUCUAAAUGUAAUCACCCAUGCUCUACAUCAAAUGUACAUACAUAUAAGACAUAAACUAUUAACAGAUCCCCAGUUUGUUCAUGGAGUGACUGGUAUGUUA